rnacentral:misc_RNA from 1 species
AGUCUAAUCUUGAAAGCAGGAAGAGGCUUACAUCGAAAAAUAGACUAUGCAAUGCACCGUGCAUCACAGACUCUAUGGAUGGCGCCUGCCUCUCGAGCAGUCGCAGAAGAUGGGCAAGAGUCGAUGAAAAGGCUGGCUCUCGCGCCUUUGACCUUUUUGUCGCUCAGCGGAAACACCUCCUCUCUAGCCUCCAUCCUGGCGUCGGCAGUGGGGUUUUUGGAGGGUUAUAGCACGUCAGAUUGGGAAACGGAUAUAAAUUUGGCCAAAAACUCCUCUGGUGAGCUUUGCGCACACACGAAGCUCACGCUCGUUCCCUAUACUUUUCGAAGAGCGCUCACGUCGGUGUCCUCCACUUCAGUGCUUGAUCCGUCUCCUUUAUCAAGCGAGAAGGUCCCUCUUGUGUCACGAAGCCUCUCCAUUUCCCAUGUCGUUGCCGAUGCGGCGCCGCGCGCUUUAUCCCCUAGGGAUGUGUCGCAGCUGCAGCGUUUUAAAGACAGCUUCAAGGGUAGUGCUACUGCGGCCGAUUAUGUGGCGAACGAUCUUCUUCGCACAACAGGCUCUGUAGAAGUAGCAAAGGCAGUGCUGCAGUUUUGUGCGCAGGUCGGCUUGACGAUUCCACGCUCGACGCUACAGGAUCUUGUACACAGAUUGAAGAACGAAGAAGCUUCCUUCGCCAGAAGCGUGUACCAGGAGUUUGCAUUCGAGGUUAACCUUGAAGCGCUCCACGAGAGCAGUCUUAUCAGCUCACGGUGUGUACAGCAUCGUUUAGCUUCGCCGCCCAGGAAGCGGAAGGAGAGUAAACUAGAGCGGGUGCGGCGCUCCACCUCUCCAAAAUUGUAGUGUCUUGUUGCCUUUCUCUCUGCAUUAUUCAUCUUGAGUAUUCGCCAUCGUGUACUAUACAAGUUUUUCACCUCUGUUCCGCAUGACAAAGAAAUUUCCUCGUUUGCGGACUACGUCGUGUAAGCGCUGGGUAGGAGGCACACUGUUGCACGUGCCCGCUACUUCGCUCAAUGUGGACACGUAGAUCCAGCAUGAUGGGCCCAUCUUUGAUGCCCUCGCUUUUGUUGACCAGGCGAUCUCCUUCAAUGUGGCGGAUCACUUUCUCAUUGUUUGCUCUAUUCAGUUUCAACACCUGAACUUCUUGCUGUCUCUCUAUUUGCGCCUUCUCUUGUCUGGCAUGAAAG